UCGAUACUUCAUAAUUGGGAUGAUGGUCGUUGCUUGAAGUUGCUAAAGAACUGUUUCAAGGCUCUACCAAAGGAUGGAAAGGUAAUAGUUGUAGAUGCAAUUGUUCCUGUGGUUCCUGAUACUAGUGCAAGCAUCAAAGCCAUUUGCCAGUCUGAUAUAAUCAUGAUGGCUCAAAUCCCUGGAGGAAAAGAGAGAUCCGAAGCAGAGUUUCUUGAUUUGGCUACUGCAGCUGGAUUUAGAGGUAUAAGGGUAGAAUGUUUUGUGUGUGAUGCCUGGGUCAUGGAGUUCUACAAGUAGAUGACUAGUUCAUGGCGCAUUGCACUCUAAAAACAUUCUCGUUUUAUCUUCACUAAUUUUAGAUGGAGAAUUGUCUUUUUUUUUUUGUUUGGGGAGAGGGGGGAUUGGGGAAGAACGUUUGAUGUUAGUCAUAAUAUUGGGCUUGUCAGAAAAAAUAAUGUGGAUUCUCUUGUUUUGGACUAGACAAAUUGUCAUUGGUAAUCUACCAACCAACCAAUUCUCUAAACUGUGCCAAAAAAAAAAAGGAGCAUCUUCAUGGCAAACUGAAAUGUUCUACAAGAAUGCAAAUUCAUGCGUACGAUGGUUAUAUCAGCUUGAUUGUUGCUUGACCUUGGCUGUGAACAUCGUCUAGUGUAGCACAUUAAAGGUAAUUGAUUUUGGCUCGAGGUUAGAGUUGCUGAGAUACCAAUAGUCUUUAUGUUCAGUUCCAAAGCUCAAUAGGUUACAUGAUUGAAGAGUGAAAGAAAAACAAAAGCAUGAUGAGAUAUACGAUAUGCAGCAAGAUAGUACGAGGAAUUAUGGAGUUUGAACGGUCGCUUGAUUGGCAGCAUUCUAGUCCAUGCACUUUUAGCUGGUCCGAAUUGUUUCCUCGCAGACAUCUUCGAUCUUGUUUUUUUAGUUCUUUCAUCAUUUUGACAGGGAGAAACACCUUGAAAGAGUUUAUCAAAGAGUCCAAAAUGUAAAUUAGGAACCCAAUUCUGAUCCAAAAACUUAAACCUUUAGGUCUUGGAUCCUUACUUACAUAUUAAUUGCUCUUUCUCCAUCUUUCCGACGGAUAUAAUCCUUUACUCAUGAACCUAACACAUUUAAAUUAGAGCUUCCAUUAAAUUUCAUAGGAAGGACAGAAAAAUGUGAUAAUCAUAUAGAAGGAAUUUGUAGACGUACGUUGCAAGAAAAUGAGUGUGGGAACGAGUGCAAUCAAGGACAAAAGAAUGGGGGAGUUUAGUCUAUUUCUGUUGCUACUUGCCAUUGUGCUGGAUAUUGCAUAUCUGCUAAUUUGUAAGCGAUCACUCAAGCAGAUAAUUGAUCCAGAAAAAAAGUGAGGGAAUUCAGGUUGGAAAUGCUUAACCUUGAAAGAUUAGUGAGUAAAGAAUUACACUCAGAUCAAUAGAACCAAUUCCCAUGACCUAGGAAUCAAUGGAAGCCUGUUAAUUACCUGGAACAAGCAUCUAAGAACUUUUGAAGUAAGUGAACAACAUAAUAUAGGCAAAAUCAGCUGGCCAUGAAAUAUGUGGUCAUCAUCCGAGUUUAAGCAGAAGCAGGGUCAAAAUAGAAAGUCUCUAUAACUUUGAGGGUGCAUUUUAAAUUAAUCUCUCCAGUUUGUGGAUUCAAUCACAAUUUGCAUCUUUUACGAACUGAAGAACAGAUGCUGACUUCCAUUCAUUCCUCCCACAAAAUAAAGCAAGGGGGACCAAAGAAACGAAAAUUUAUUGCUCAAUAUGAUAACAAUGUAAGAAGUAUAGAGAAGACAGAAAUCUUUUGGCUUGACAGUGGAGUCUAAUUAUGGAAGAGGGGCAGGAAUGGUUGCAGGAAGCAACCGUUGCUGACAAUUCACGGCCAAAAUUUGGUAAAAAAAAAAUUGUAUCUUGACAUUUCACACGGCCAAGAUUUGGCCAAAAAAAUUUGUUUGAUCCAGAUCUCAUCUUGUACCUCGUUUUUAAUAAUAUGUGUGGAAUACACAAAAUUUUGUUUUAGUAUUACAUGUUGUUAAAAGUAAGUUACACCAUGUGCAAACAAGAGUUACGCCGUGUGCAAAAUGCACAUAACCUUCACGAAACCGUUCCUGACCCUGGUCCCUAAUUAUAUGUGUGUGUGUGCGUGUGAGAGAGAAUAAUAUCACUUAUCCACCUAAAAAAAAUCUUGUAGUGAAUAGUGUUUAUUGGAAUGUCAUUAUUAGGAUGGAUGAGUUUUCUAAAUUUUUGGAGUAAAAUAUUGAAGGUUGUUUCGAUUACAUAAUGCAAAAUUGCAAAAAUUUCGAGAAUAUGGAAUCUUUGCUGAGACAUUAAAAAGAUUAAUAAAGUUUGGUGGAUACAUGAAUGGCAACAUAUAUAAAAUAAGGGAAUUGAUCUUGGAGUACGUUUGUCCUACAAAUGAUUUGGAAAGUCUCUAUAACUUUGAGGGUGCAAGUAUUCAAAAUUCUCUGUUGUUAUCCUAACAAUCCGAUGUGAAAGAUAGUUAAAAGGUCAGUCAUCAGAAGAGUUGAAGAAUUUCUAUUCUUUUUGAAAGGAAAGUUAAGCAUAGCUAGGAUUUGUUUCUAAAUUUUUUGCUAUUCUUUUUGUACAAUUACUUUUCUCUUUAACGACUAUUCAUCGUUAAUAAUAAUCCUUGUAAAUUUAAUAUUACUUAGUAUUUUCUCUUUUGUAUGAUCCACUCGAAUAAGAGACAAGAAAUCAAAUCACAAUGGCAUCACUUUUAACAUUACUAAGUCAUGAUGGUUCAUGCGCUUCUCAAGCGAAAAAAUACAUUAAAAUGGACUUUGAGAGUAAAUUACAAUGCUUUUAUAAUGUGAGAAACAUUAAAAUGUGUAAUUUUUCUUAAUAAUAUGGAAUUAGGAAGCAGAAGGAACCAAUAUUUGAAAUGAACAAAAUGGACAUUCAUUUGAAAACUAGAAGUUGAGUGGACAUUAUUUUGUCGUGUGACACUUAAUAUUCUUUUAAAUAACCCCGAACCUUAUCAAUUAAGCUAGAAAAAUAGCAAACUUGAAUUAGAAAACUUUAUGGUUUGUUUGGGAAAUCAUUCCUUCAAUUUCUUGUCAAUUCUUGAAAAUAUUAUAAUUAUACAAUGGUGAAUUCAAUCUGAAGGUAUAACAUUCAAAUGGAUGGUAGAGUCUCUGCUGUUGAGGUUGAGUGAUAUUUUUUUUUAAGUUAAGUGACUUAAUAAUUGAGUUGUCAAAACGUACGAUGAUAAUGCCAAUCAACUUUUCUAAUCCUUCGUAUAGAAUGAUCAAAAAACCUUUGAUGAAUGUCCUUGGAAAAUCCUUUGGGCAAUGUUCAUGGAAUAUAAAAAACCAUGAAUGAUCAAAUGGUCUGUAUAGAAAAGCUCUAUACCAGGCCUGUUUGUAAUCCUGAUAUGUGAAUCCGUCUGGAAUCCUUCAGACUGAAAAGUUCUUUUUUGAAUAAAUUGAGGCCCAUUCUCCUGGGGAGCAUACCUUUUUAAUUAUACAUUUGCAAUGGGCUAUUUCCUUUGAAUUUGAAGGAUUGGGUUUUGCAAUAAUUUCGACUGAUCCAGUAUCAACUAAAAUCAGUUCAUAAUAAGAUUGAUUUUUGAGGGAAUCAUCAGGACACCAAUAGCAUCCUUCUGGGAAAAUCCUCUGAGUAAGUGUUUUGAGUGUGGCAUAGGGAGGUACUUCUUUGAAUUUGGUUAGAGUAAUAUGUUGAAUCAAGGGUUUUGUAAUGUAAGGAGAUUUUUCUUUUGCAAUUGGGGUUUGUGGUGCUUUUGAAGAAUUGGAUGGAUUUUGAGCUGCUUGAACAUAAGAUAAAGCUGGGAAAUCUUGAAAUAAACUAUAUCUAUUUGAAGUAGGAACCUUACUUUGAGACAUUUCAUAAUCCUUUGGAGUGCGAGCCAUAUCUGCAAAAUUAAAGUCAAGAAAUAAUUUUGUUGAGUUUCUCUCGAAGCUGUUGAAUGUGUUGGUCAUAAUAUUGAAUCUCUUCCUGAGGAUGACCGGCUUUUUUGAGGACAUCUUGAAAAUAAUAUUGGAAUUAAUUUGUCUUGUGAGAAGAAAGGCUUUUUCUUUUGGAGUCUGAACAGACCAAAAACUAGGUCUAAUAUAAACUGGGGAGUAAUUUUGAAUUUGAUGAUAAGGAAUAGGCUGAAUUUCUCCUUGUGGAUUUUUAAUAUAAUAAGUAUAAAUUCUAUUUGAAAUAUUUUUAUUGAAUAGUUAGGUGCACAAUUAAAAUAGAUAGGACCAUUACAUGUGUUAGUUUGAAUUAAUGCUAAUAAAGAGCUUUUAUAUCUUAUAAGUCUUUUAUCUCUUAAUGCCAUAAAGAUCGGAGCAUCAACCCCCAUAUGAACUAAAGGUUUUACGGCUACUUGUACCAAACCCAUGUGAAUAUAUCUCUAACCAUUAUUAAUGUAUUUUUGUAAUGCGUGGUCAUUUAACAAAUGUAUAGUUUGAAAUUGUUCGUUUACUGAUCGUGUUUCUUCAUGUAUUUUUAUAGUCAUUGCUACUUUAAAAUCAAAUAAUCCUACUUUGUAAAUUUCUUCAAUUUUCUGUUCAGGUAUGGUCCAAUUAGAAUUAUCUAUUUCCAUCUUAAUUUCAUUACUUAAUACCAAGUCUGAAUUCUUUGAAUCAGAUCUAGUCAUCCACCGUUUCAAUUUAGCUGCCAUUUUUGCUAAUCUCUUCUAUUCAUCUAUCCUAUGGGAACACCAGAGUCUUAUGCCGGGAACACCAACUCUCUAGGCUUACCAACGGUCUCAAUUCAUUAUAAACAAAAUGGACAUUCAUUUGAAAACUAGAAGUUGAGUGGACAUUAUUUUGUCGUGUGACACUUAAUAUUCUUUUAAAUAACCCCAAACCUUAUCAAUUAAGCUAGAAAAAUAGCAAACUUGAAUUAGAAAACUUUAUGGUUUGUUUGGGAAAUCAUUCCUUCAAUUUCUUGUCAAUUCUUGAAAAUAUUAUAAUUAUACAAUGGUGAAUUCAAUCUGAAGGUAUAACAUUCAAAUGGAUGGUAGAGUCUCUGCUGUUGAGGUUGAGUGAUAUUUUUUUUAAUUUAAGUGACUUAAUAAUUGAGUUGUCAAAACGUACGAUGAUAAUGCCAAUCAACUUUUCUAAUCUAUCUGUAGAAUUUUAAGAUAAUAUAGAAAAGCUAUUUGAAUAAAAUAUUUUUCUUGAAUUUUGUCAUUUGUCUGAAGUAUUUUUGCCCGACAAAAUAAAAAGUAAACAGAAAUAAAUCUGUGAUUUUGCCAUAAUUCCAACAACAAAUCUUAACCAGACACCACACCAACUCAUGAUUAAGAUGCACUCCCUUUUAACAGAGGGAGAGCCAAAAAAAAAAAAAAAAGAGCAGUACUCUCCUUUUGGCACCACAACUCUCCAUUCUCCAUUCCAUAGCACCACCCACAACUCCAUUCGCAACACCUCUUGUUUUGGCACCUUUAAGUUGGUUUUCCUUUUGUAGAAGCUGCAAAGUUGCACACACACGAGGAAGGAAAGGUACGUCUUGGACGGUACAUGACGAGAAAGUUGCAUGCGUGCGUGACUUCUGCAUUUAGAUAUAGGUAGUCAAACAUUACUUAUGUGGACUGUGUUAAUGAGACUUGUAAUACGUACCACCGCUCACAAUUAAGUUGGACAAAGGGGGGUUGGAAGAACAAAUUGAAAUCUAUAGCCCAUCAAAUUUAUAUUUAUAUUUAAUAGUUUUACGUAAAAAGUAAGUAGUAAUAUUAAUCAAUUAUCAUAUACAAUAGCGAAUGAUAGUAGCAUUCAAAAAAAGUUUAAAACACUCUUUAACUUUCUUUCAAAUUAAUUAGAGGGAUAAUAUCAUAAACCUCCUCUAUUGAGAUUUCUCUUAAUAUCACUUGGCACCUCUAAAGUUUUAAAAAUAUCACUUACCUCCUUUAUUUUCGUUAUUUGUGUAACAAAAUUUUUGAAAACCCUAAACUAUCCUUCUACUUGCUAAAUAAAAAUACUCAUAAAUCAUUUUGUUUAUUUCAAGAAAACCAUCACCUAGAAAACAAUCUCUAGUAGUUCUAUUACAUCAUAAUACUAUAGUUCAUAAAAAUAUAAAUUUUAAAAAUAAAAAGACAUUUAUAAAGAAACGCAGUCGACUAAUUUUACCCUAUAUGUUCAAACUGAUUUUUUAUGAACUUUAUAUUUUUUUCCAACUUCUUCUCAAUCCAUGCCCAAACCUUUAAAUUGUAUUGAUUAUUAUAAAAAGCAACUCAAAAUAAGCAAAUAAUUCAUACCCCACUCUAUCACAAUCAUAAAAAGUAAAAGAUAAACAAAAUUCAAUUUAUUAUAAUUUACAAAUAAAAGAUUGCAUAGUUAUCCGAAAAAUGAAUAAAAGAGAAUGUUAGAGAAAAAAGAAAGAGAAGAAAAUAUCUUUUGUUUCUUGUCUUUUUAAUUUUUGAGCUCAUUUAUUUGAUAUGUAAAUUAUGUAUUGAGUGAGGGUUAAUAUAGUCUUUUUGCAAUUACUGGAGGGUAAGUGAAUUUUUAAAACCACAAAGAUACCAAGUGAUAUUAAGAGAAACCUCAAGGGAGGUUUCUGAUAUUAUCCCUUAACUAAACUAGUUAAGAGUAUACCCUUACAUUUACAAAGCUACCCUUCCAGAUCUUGCUCCCCCUUGAUUCCAGACGCCUCAUUCCAAUUGCUUUCUCUUUAAAUUUUCACAGUUUCUGCUCAAUCGGACGUCCCAUUUGAAAAUUUGCCGUCAAUGAGUGGCAAUUAAGAGUUUAACACAACCCUCGCACCCAAUCCAAUAUAUGCUACAGUACUACUAAGCUGAAUAUAUACGCAUAGCCUAGCUGGGAUCUAUCAGCAUCUAUAGAGUCAGAGUUGCUGGUAGUAGCAGUAGUGAUAUGGAUUCUUCGUCAAGAGCAACCGACGAUGUUGUAGUUGAAGCAGGACUAGAUGAGCAAGAAGAGCAACGCUUCUCGUACGCGAUGCAACUGGUCAGCUCUGCAGCGCUGCCCAUGGUGCUGCUGGCUGCCAUCCGGCUCGAUGUGUUGGAGGUCAUUGCCCAAGCGGGUCCAGGUGCCCAAUUGUCGCCUUGGGACAUUGCAGCCCAGGCGUGUCCUAAAAACCCUGAUGCGGCUGCUAUGCUGGAUAGGAUGCUGCAGCUCCUGGCUAGCUACUCGGUGCUCACCUGCUCUGUUGCCGAGGCGGAUGCUAGUAUCAGUAGCCGAAGAAGAGUGUAUGGAUUGGCACCGGUGGCCAAAUACUUUGUGCAGAAUAAAACAUAUGCAGCAGGAGGAGGAGGAGUUUCACUAGGCCCCCUGCUGGCCUUGCUUCAGGAUAAGGUCUUCAUUGACAGUUGGUCAGUGUUUUCACUUCCACUUUUAUUUGCUUCUAAAUCUAUUACUUUCAAUUAAGCUUUUACUAUGUCUCGCACGGCUUGCUGGCCAAUAAUGGGCAAGACUUCUGCUCGCUCCUAAGUAAUACGUAAAAAUUCGUUGCACUAUUUUGUGGAAGACCGAAUACCUGGUCAGAAUUAGUGUCCAAAAAAUGGUUCCAGAACCUUUCUUUUCGAAACCAACCUUUCCAAUUCAACAAUUAUUCAUGCCCCUUUACAGGAAAGUACAAGUCCUUGGAUUUGCAAAUGCCACCUUCAAGUCAGAGCAUAAUUUGGCUGUAUAUUAUGUUUCUAAAGUCCCACCUGUGUAGUCCGUCAAAUUUCUGUUUUUGCAUGGAUAAUUAAGUAUCAAUUGCUUUUAUUCAUAGAAAUUAUAAGGUAAGGGUAGUUUGGUUUGUGCAAAAAUCUUCAUCAAAUCUGUCUAAUUUAGGUACCAAUUAGAAGAUGCAGUUCGUGAAGGAGGAGUUCCGUUUGAUAGGGUACAUGGUGUACAUGCGUUUGAAUACCCUGCUAGAGAUCCCAGAUUCAAUGAGGUCUUCAACAAGGCAAUGAUCAACCCCACAACUAUUGCCAUUAACAGAAUCGUUAAACGCUACAAAGGUUUUGAGCACCUCAAAACUUUGGUAGAUGUUGGUGGUGGGCUUGGAGUUACCCUCGGCGUGAUCACAGCUAAAUACCCAAGUCUCAAGGGUAUUAAUUUUGAUUUGCCACAUGUUAUCCAACAUGCACCGGUCUAUCCUGGUAUAAUUCUGUCCUUUCUCUCGAAAUCAUAUGCAUAGUUUGAUUAACAAAUAGUAGAUAGCAUGCAAAGACUGAAGAAGGAUACAGGUGCCAAUACUUUUUUCAUAAAUUUCAUUGAGAUGCAAAAUAUACUUAGGAAUUAGAGGCAUAGUAUUGUGGAUAGAGACAUUAUUGCUGAGUUCUCUAUCUUAAACCUUUUGUUGGGUAAAGAAACUUGCAUAUGUCAUAUGGAGCUGAUUACCUUAUUUGCAGUCCCUAUAUGCAGAAUUGUUUAAAAACCAUAAUUUCUUUCAUCUCGUAUAACAUUCUUUCAUAGUGGUCUUCUAGCUUCUAUUCUUAUUAAGGUGAAUUUUGCAGGGGUAGAACAUGUUGGAGGAGACAUGUUUGACAGUGUUCCACAAGGGGAUGCCAUUUUUCUGAGGGUAAGUUGAACUCUUGAGGAAUUCUUAUUAGGACUAAUGAGUUACCAGUCGCAACAAUUAAGCAUACAAUACUUAUUUAAGAAAUGGUCCCUCUGAACAAUAUAUUAUGCCGAUCUUCUCAAACUAAUUAUUGUAGUUUGAGUUGCUUGUUUUACAACUUUAAACUGAUUCUGAAGUGUCCUCUGUAAGAUAUGGACCACAGAAUAAUUGUUACGUUCUUUAUCGUUCUCUUCUUUCUUUUGAUGCUUUUUACAUGCGUUCUUUUGUAGUCGAUACUUCAUGAUUGGGAUGAUGGUCGUUGCUUGAAGUUGCUAAAGAACUGUUUCAAGGCUCUACCAAAGGAUGGAAAGGUAAUAGUUGUAGAUGCAAUUGUUCCUGUGGUUCCUGAUACUAGUGCAAGCAUCAAAGUCAUUUGCCAGUCUGAUGUAAUCAUGAUGGCUCAAAACCCUGGAGGAAAAGAGAGAUCCGAAGCAGAGUUUCUUGAUUUGGCUACUGCAGCUGGAUUUAGAGGUAUAAGGGUAGAAUGUUUUGUGUGUAAUGCCUGGGUCAUGGAGUUCUACAAGUAGAUGACUAGUUCAUGGCGCAUUGCACUCUAAAAACAUUCUCGUUUUAUCUU
rnacentral:lncRNA from 1 species